rnacentral:sRNA from 1 species
GCCAGGCACAGUGGUGCAUGCUUGUAAUCCCAGUGGCUUGGGAGGCUGAGACAGGAGGAUUGCAAGUUCAAAGCCAGCCUUAGCAACUUAGUGAGUCUCUAAGCAAUUGAGUGAGGCCCUAAGCAACUUAGUGAAUCCCUGUCUCUA